rnacentral:rRNA from 1 species
CCUACGGGGGGCAGCAGUGGGGAAUAUUGGACAAUGGGGGGAACCCUGAUCCAGCCAUGCCGCGUGUGUGAAGAAGGCCCUCGGGUUGUAAAGCACUUUCAGUGAGGAAGAACGCCUGGUGGUUAAUACCCAUCAGGAAAGACAUCACUCACAGAAGAAGCACCGGCUAACUCCGUGCCAGCAGCCGCGGUAAUACGGAGGGUGCGAGCGUUAAUCGGAAUUACUGGGCGUAAAGCGCGCGUAGGUGGCUUGAUAAGCCGGUUGUGAAAGCCCCGGGCUCAACCUGGGAACGGCAUCCGGAACUGUUAAGCUAGAGUGCAGGAGAGGAAGGUAGAAUUCCCGGUGUAGAGGUGAAAUGCGUAGAGAUCGGGAGGAAUACCAGUGGCGAAGGCGGCCUUCUGGACUGACACUGACACUGAGGUGCGAAAGCGUGGGUAGCAAACAGGAUUAGAUACCCGUGUAGUC